rnacentral:rRNA from 1 species
GGAUUCCCUAGUAGCGGCGAGCGAAGCGGGAAGAGCUCAAAUUUAUAAUCUGGCACCUUCGGUGUCCGAGUUGUAAUCUCUAGAAGUGUUUUCCGCGUUGGACCGCACACAAGUCUGUUGGAAUACAGCGGCACAGUGGUGAUACCCCCGUACACGGUGCGGACGCCCAGCGCUUUGUGAUACACUUUCAAUGAGUCGAGUUGUUUGGGAAUGCAGCUCAAAUUGGGUGGUAAAUUCCAUCUAAAGCUAAAUAUUGGCGAGAGACCGAUAGCGAACAAGUACCGUGAGGGAAAGAUGAAAAGCACUUUGGAAAGAGAGUUAACAGUACGUGAAAUUGUUGGAAGGGAAACGCUUGAAGUCAGACUUGCUUGCCGGAGCUUGCUUCGGUUUGCAGGCCAGCAUCAGUUUUCCGGGGUGGAUAAUGGUGGUUUGAAGGUAGCAGCCUCGGCUGUGUUAUAGCUUUCCACUGGAUACAUCCUGGGGGACUGAGGAACGCAGCGUGCUUUUUGCGAAGGUUUCGACCUUUUCACGCUUAGGAUGCUGGUGUAAUGACUUUAAACGAC